AUUGAACGCUGGCGGCAUGCCUUACACAUGCAAGUCGAACGGCAGCACGGGUGCUUGCACCUGGUGGCGAGUGGCGAACGGGUGAGUAAUAAAUCGGAACAUGUCCUGUAGUGGGGGAUAGCCCGGCGAAAGCCGGAUUAAUACCGCAUACGAUCUACGGAUGAAAGCGGGGGACCUUCGGGCCUCGCGCUAUAGGGUUGGCCGAUGGCUGAUUAGCUAGUUGGUGGGGUAAAGGCCUACCAAGGCGACGAUCAGUAGCUGGUCUGAGAGGACGACCAGCCACACUGGGACUGAGACACGGCCCAGACUCCUACGGGAGGCAGCAGUGGCGAAUUUUGGACAAUGGGCGAAAGCCUGAUCCAGCAAUGCCGCGUGUGUGAAGAAGGCCUUCGGGUUGUAAAGCACUUUUGUCCGGAAAGAAAUCCUUGGCCCUAAUACGGUCGGGGGAUGACGGUACCGGAAGAAUAAGCACCGGCUAACUACGUG
rnacentral:rRNA from 1 species